ACCUGUGUCAAAGGGGAGUAGCGGUUGGAUUAAAAUCCAAAAGUCAGGUCGUCAUUCCAUGGUAAUUACCAUCGGCCUUACUGGCAUGAAGAUGCUAUGCGAGACCUUUGCCUUCUAUAGGCAGGGGUCUCGUGUU
rnacentral:sRNA from 2 species